rnacentral:rRNA from 1 species
AGAGUUUGAUCCUGGCUCAGGAUGAACGCUGGCGGCAUGCCUAAUACAUGCAAGUCGAACGAGAGGAAGGAAAGCUUGCUUUUCUGAAUCUAGUGGCGAACGGGUGAGUAACACGUAGGUAACCUGCCCAUGUGCCCGGGAUAACUUCUGGAAACGGAUGCUAAAACCGGAUAGGUAGCAGACAAGCAUUUGACUGCUAUUAAAGUGGCCUUGGCCAUGAACAUGGAUGGACCUGCGGUGCAUUAGCUGGUUGGUGAGGUAACGGCCCACCAAGGCGACGAUGCAUAGCCGGCCUGAGAGGGCGGACGGCCACAUUGGGACUGAGACACGGCCCAAACUCCUACGGGAGGCAGCAGUAGGGAAUUUUCGUCAAUGGGGGGAACCCUGAACGAGCAAUGCCGCGUGAGUGAGGAAGGUCUUCGGAUCGUAAAGCUCUGUUGUAAGAGAAAAACGGCACUCAUAGGGAAUGAUGAGUGAGUGAUGGUAUCUUACCAGAAAGUCACGGCUAACUACGUGCCAGCAGCCGCGGUAAUACGUAGGUGGCGAGCGUUAUCCGGAAUGAUUGGGCGUAAAGGGUGCGUAGGUGGCAGAUCAAGUCUGGAGUAAAAGGUAUGGGCUCAACCCGUACUGGCUCUGGAAACUGAUCAGCUAGAGAACAGAAGAGGACGGCGGAACUCCAUGUGUAGCGGUAAAAUGCGUAGAUAUAUGGAAGAACACCGGUGGCGAAGGCGGCCGUCUGGUCUGGAUUCUGACACUGAAGCACGAAAGCGUGGGGAGCAAAUAGGAUUAGAUACCCUAGUAGUCCACGCCGUAAACGAUGAGAACUAGGUGUUGGGGGAAUAACUCAGUGCCGCAGUUAACGCAGUAAGUUCUCCGCCUGGGGAGUAUGCACGCAAGUGUGAAACUCAAAGGAAUUGACGGGGGCCCGCACAAGCGGUGGAGUAUGUGGUUUAAUUCGAAGCAACGCGAAGAACCUUACCAGGCCUUGACAUCCCUUGCAGAGGUAUAGAGAUAUAUCCGAGGUUAUCAAGGAGACAGGUGGUGCAUGGUUGUCGUCAGCUCGUGUCGUGAGAUGUUGGGUUAAG